rnacentral:rRNA from 1 species
AUUGAACGCUGGCGGCAGGCCUAGCACAUGCAAGUCGAACGGUAACAGGAAGAAGCUUGCUUCUUUGCUGACGAGUGGCGGACGGGUGAGUAAUGUCUGGGAAACUGCCUGAUGGAGGGGGAUAACUACUGGAAACGGUAGCUACUACCGCAUAACGUCGCAAGACCAAAGAGGGGGACCUUCGGGCCUCUUGCCAUCGGAUGUGCCCAGAUGGGAUUAGCUAGUAGGUGGGGUAACGGCUCACCUAGGCGACGAUCCCUAGCUGGUCUGAGAGGAUGACCAGCCACACUGGAACUGAGACACGGUCCAGACUCCUACGGGAGGCAGCAGUGGGGAAUAUUGCACAAUGGGCGCAAGCCUGAUGCAGCCAUGCCGCGUGUAUGAAGAAGGCCUUCGGGUUUUAAAGUACUUUCAGCGGGGAGGAAGGGAGUAAAGUUAAUACCUUUACUCAUUGACGUUACCCGCAGAAGAAGCACCGGCUAACUCCGUG